rnacentral:rRNA from 1 species
UGGGGAAUAUUGGGCAAUGGGCGAAAGCCUGACCCAGCAACGCCGCGUGAAGGAAGAAGGCUUUCGGGUUGUAAACUUCUUUUCUCAGGGACGAACAGAUGACGGUACCUGAGGAAUAAGCCACGGCUAACUACGUGCCAGCAGCCGCGGUAAUACGUAGGUGGCAAGCGUUAUCCGGAUUUACUGGGUGUAAAGGGCGUGUAGGCGGGAAAGCAAGUCAGAUGUGAAAACCAUGGGCUCAACCUGUGGCCUGCAUUUGAAACUGUUUUUCUUGAGUACUGGAGAGGCAGACGGAAUUCCUAGUGUAGCGGUGAAACUGCGUAGAUAUUAGGAGGAACACCAGUGGCGAAGGCGGCUUACUGGACGGUAACUGACGUUGAGGCUCGAAAGCGUGGGGAGCAAACAGGAUUAGAUACCC